ensembl:snRNA U5 U5 spliceosomal RNA
AAAUUCUGGUUUCUCUUCAAAUCAUAUAAAUCUUUCACCUUUCACUAAAAGAUUUCCAUGGAAAGGAAAACUGUCUCUUAAACCACUUUUUCGAGGCCUUAUUUUAACAGGACC